UUUGAUCCUGGCUCAGGACGAACGCUGGCGGCGUGCCUAAUACAUGCAAGUCGAGCGAGCUUGCCUAGAUGAUUUUAGUGCUUGCACUAAAUGAAACUAGAUACAAGCGAGCGGCGGACGGGUGAGUAACACGUGGGUAACCUGCCCAAGAGACUGGGAUAACACCUGGAAACAGAUGCUAAUACCGGAUAACAACACUAGACGCAUGUCUAGAGUUUGAAAGAUGGUUCUGCUAUCACUCUUGGAUGGACCUGCGGUGCAUUAGCUAGUUGGUAAGGUAACGGCUUACCAAGGCAAUGAUGCAUAGCCGAGUUGAGAGACUGAUCGGCCACAUUGGGACUGAGACACGGCCCAAACUCCUACGGGAGGCAGCAGUAGGGAAUCUUCCACAAUGGACGAAAGUCUGAUGGAGCAACGCCGCGUGAGUGAAGAAGGGUUUCGGCUCGUAAAGCUCUGUUGGUAGUGAAGAAAGAUAGAGGUAGUAACUGGCCUUUAUUUGACGGUAAUUACUUAGAAAGUCACGGCUAACUACGUGCCAGCAGCCGCGGUAAUACGUAGGUGGCAAGCGUUGUCCGGAUUUAUUGGGCGUAAAGCGAGUGCAGGCGGUUCAAUAAGUCUGAUGUGAAAGCCUUCGGCUCAACCGGAGAAUUGCAUCAGAAACUGUUGAACUUGAGUGCAGAAGAGGAGAGUGGAACUCCAUGUGUAGCGGUGGAAUGCGUAGAUAUAUGGAAGAACACCAGUGGCGAAGGCGGCUCUCUGGUCUGCAACUGACGCUGAGGCUCGAAAGCAUGGGUAGCGAACAGGAUUAGAUACCCUGGUAGUCCAUGCCGUAAACGAUGA
rnacentral:rRNA from 1 species